CUAACCUUUUUUCCCCCACCAACAGGGCGGGAAAACCCUGGACGCGAACCGCUAUGCCACCAAGAAGACGGUCGCGCAGGGCAUGCUCGACAUCGCCCUCCUCACGGCCAACGCCUCGCAGCUCAAGUACGUCCUCAGGAUCGGCGACAAGCACGAGUUCUACAGCCUCAUGCUCGGCCUCAUCAUCACGUCGCUGGUGCUGCAGCUGGUGGUCGGGCUUUUAUCGGUGAGUUUGUCCAUGCUCCGUGACUGUCGGCUGCACCUCCCCCAUUAUCGCAUAUCUGCAACAGUUAUCAACAACCUCAACGUCAUCCUUGUCUACGUCAUCACUGUAUUGAACGUCAUCAUCACUGGGUUUGGCAUUUUACCCUCUGAUAUGUCGACUCUGACCUUCUGAAGAUUGAACGCGUGGUCCCCCAAAAUGAGAGCGAGAGAAAAAUAAGAGAAAAAAAAGCUGCUCGUGGGUCUGCUCUCCUUCUCGCUGUCCAUGCUCCGCGACUGCCGCCUGCACCUUCCUCAGUACCGAAUCUCUGCUCUUGUGAUCAACCACGUCAAUAUCAUCUGCGUCUUCAUCAUCA
rnacentral:misc_RNA from 1 species